rnacentral:rRNA from 1 species
AUACGGAGGGUGCAAGCGUUACUCGGAAUCACUGGGCGUAAAGCGCGCGCAGGCGGAUUGGCAAGUUGGAUGUGAAAGCCUGCGGCUCAACCGCAGAACUGCAUCCAAAACUGUCAGUCUAGAGUCUGGGAGAGGUAGCUGGAAUUAGUGGUGUAGGGGUAAAAUCCGUAGAGAUCACUAGGAAUACCGAAAGCGAAGGCGAGCUACUGGAACAGUACUGACGCUGAGGCGCGAAAGCGUGGGGAGCAAACAGGAAUAGAAACCCGAGUAGUCC